AUUGAACGCUGGCGGCAUGCCUUACACAUGCAAGUCGAACGGUAACAGGUCUUCGGAUGCUGACGAGUGGCGAACGGGUGAGUAAUACAUCGGAACGUGCCUAGUAGUGGGGGAUAACUACUCGAAAGAGUGGCUAAUACGGCAUGAGAUCUACGGAUGAAAGCAGGGGAUCGCAAGACCUUGUGCUACUAGAGCGGCCGAUGGCAGAUUAGGUAGUUGGUGGGGUAAAAGCUUAACAAGCCGACGAUCUGUAGCUGGUCUGAGAGGACGAGCAGCCACACUGGGACUGAGACACGGGCCAGACUCCGACGGGAGGCAGCAGUGGGGAAUUUUGGACAAUGGGCGCAAGCCUGAUCCAGCAAUGACGCGUGCAGGAUGAAGGCCUUCGGGUUGUAAACUGCUUUUGUACGGAACGAAAAGCCCUGGGUUAAUACCCUGGGGUCAUGACGGUACCGUAAGAAUAAGCACCGGCUAACUACGUGCCAGCCGCCGCCGUAAUAC
rnacentral:rRNA from 1 species